GACAGAGGGUGCAAACGUUGUUCGGAAUUACUGGGCGUAAAGGGCUCGUAGGCGGCCAACUAAGUCAGACGUGAAAUCCCUCGGCUUAACCGGGGAACUGCAUCUGAUACUGGAUGGCUUGAGUUCGGGAGAGGGAUGUGGAAUUCCCGGUGUAGCGGUGAAAUGCGUAGAGAUCGGGAGGAACAUCAGUGGCGAAGGCGGCCCUCUGGACCAGCACUGACGCUGAGGCACGAAAGCGUGGGGAGCAAACAGG
rnacentral:rRNA from 1 species